GCAGCCUUAGCUCAAUUGGAUAGAGCAUCGGCCUACGAAGCCGAGGGUUGCAGGUUCGACUCCUGCAGGCUGCA
rnacentral:tRNA from 1 species